ACCCUAUAAACUUCCGCCUCAUUCUCACUUUCCUUUUAUCCUUGUCGUCCAUAUGCUCCCAUCCGGCGGCCGUUAGAACCUCCAGCUUCGCCGUCUUCUCCUAUGGGUUUGGUUCCUUCUUGCUCCACCCUUCCUCCACUUUCUGCCGCUCACACAAAAGAAUUCACUACUAAAAGUACUGUGAAGUCCACCAGUGUGGGGAAAUCUUGGAGGUAGCUAUCCGGAGUGUGCAAUAUGAACACAGGACUUGGAGCUAAAGAAGUCAAGCAAUCAAGUAUUUGAUCAAGAAUGAUGAAAAAAAUGGAAGUUGGAGCAAAAGAAUAAUAAAAGUAGAGAUUGAGAAGUCAUAAAAAUCGUGCCCAAGUUUAGUUUUCGUGGAGCUGUUUAUGAGGGUAGAAGAGCUUGAAUUUGGCCAAGUCUGAAAAAGGAACAAGUCUGUCUCACUCCACGAAUGAAAAUGGGGAGACGAAAAUUGGAAUGUCUCCACGAUUUUGCCCCAUGAAAUUGGCAGCGGAAGGUCAUCUUUGUCCAGAUUUUGAGAGUUAUUUAAAUAUAUAUUAGACCAUUUUUCUUGGGGAGCUGUUGAUUUGAGCAGUCUAGGAGGAGUAUCUCUAGUUAACUUUGCAAGGAUUAAGAGAUUUUCACUAUAGAGUUUGCAUCUUCUUAUUUGUUUAAUCUUGAACUAUGUUUAUUAUUAUAUUGUAUUUUCUUCUUCUAGUAUGAGUAGCUAAACCUAUUAGUUGUAGACUUUUAUGUGAUUGAAUACUAGGUUAUCUUGCUUAUUAUUA